UAGUUAAGAGUACUUACUACAGUGUGCAAG
rnacentral:piRNA from 1 species